rnacentral:rRNA from 1 species
CCUACGGGAGGCAGCAGUGGGGAAUCUUGCGCAAUGGGCGAAAGCCUGACGCAGCCAUGCCGCGUGAAUGAUGAAGGUCUUAGGAUUGUAAAAUUCUUUCAGCGGGGACGAUAAUGACGGUACCCGCAGAAGAAGCCCCGGCUAACUUCGUGCCAGCAGCCGCGGUAAUACGAAGGGGGCUAGCGUUGCUCGGAAUUACUGGGCGUAAAGGGAGCGUAGGCGGAUAGUUUAGUCAGAGGUGAAAGCCCAGGGCUCAACCUUGGAAAUGCCUUUGAUACUGGCUAUCUUGAGUAUGGGAGAGGUAAGCGGAAUUCCGAGUGUAGAGGUGAAAUUCGUAGAUAUUCGGAAGAACACCAGUGGCGAAGGCGGCUUACUGGCCCAUUACUGACGCUGAGGCUCGAAAGCGUGGGGAGCAAACAGGAUUAGAUACCCUGGUAGUCCACGCUGUAAACGAUGAGUGCUAGUUGUCGGCAUGCAUGCAUGUCGGUGACGCAGCUAACGCCUUAAGCACUCCGCCUGGGGAGUACGGUCGCAAGNUUAAAACUCAAAGGAAUUGACGG